rnacentral:rRNA from 1 species
AGUGAACGCUGGCGGUAGGCCUAACACAUGCAAGUCGAACGGCAGCACAGUAAGAGCUUGCUCUUACGGGUGGCGAGUGGCGGACGGGUGAGGAAUACAUCGGACUCUACUUUUUCGUGGGGGAUAACGUAGGGAAACUUACGCUAAUACCGCAUACGACCUACGGGUGAAAGCAGGGGAUCUUCGGACCUUGCGCGAUUGAAUGAGCCGAUGUCGGAUUAGCUAGUUGGCGGGGUAAAGGCCCACCAAGGCGACGAUCCGUAGCUGGUCUGAGAGGAUGAUCAGCCACACUGGAACUGAGACACGGUCCAGACUCCUACGGGAGGCAGCAGUGGGGAAUAUUGGACAAUGGGCGCAAGCCUGAUCCAGCCAUACCGCGUGGGUGAAGAAGGCCUUCGGGUUGUAAAGCCCUUUUGUUGGGAAAGAAAAGCAGCAGGUUAAGACCCCGCUGUUCUGACGGUACCCAAAGAAUAAGCACCGGCUAACUUCGUG